rnacentral:rRNA from 1 species
UCCAGACUCCUACGGGAGGCAGCAGUGGAGAAUAUUGCACAAUGGGGGAAACCCUGAUGCAGCGACGCCGCGUGAGCGAUGAAGUAUUUCGGUAUGUAAAGCUCUCUCAGCAGGGAAGAAAAUGACGGUACCUGACUAAGAAGCCCCGGCUAACUACGUGCCAGCAGCCGCGGUAAUACGUAGGGGGCGAGCGUUAUCCGGAUUCACUGGGUGUAAAGGGAGCGUAGACGGCCAUGCAAGCCAGGGGUGAAAGCCCGGGGCCCAACCCCGGGACUGCCCUUGGAACUGCAUGGCUGGAGUGCGGGAGGGGCAGGCGGAAUUCCUGGUGUAGCGGUGAAAUGCGUAGAUAUCAGGAGGAACACCAGUGGCGAAGGCGGCCUACUGGGCACUAACUGACGCUGAGGCUCGAAAGCAUGGGUAGCAAACAGGAUUAGAUACCCUAGUA